rnacentral:rRNA from 1 species
UACGGGGGGAGCAAGCGUUGUUCGGAUUUACUGGGCGUAAAGGGCGCGUAGGCGGCCACCGCAAGUCGACUGUGAAAUCUCCGAGCUUAACUCGGAAAGGUCAACUGAUACUGUGCGGCUAGAGUGCAGAAGGGGCAACUGGAAUUCUUGGUGUAGCGGUGAAAUGCGUAGAUAUCAAGAGGAACACCUGCGGCGAAGGCGGGUUGCUGGGCUGACACUGACGCUGAGGCGCGAAAGCUAGGGGAGCGAACGGG